rnacentral:rRNA from 1 species
UACGUAGGGGGCUAGCGUUGUCCGGAAUCAUUGGGCGUAAAGCGCGUGUAGGCGGUCCGGUAAGUCCGCUGUGAAAGUCGAGGGCUCAACCCUCGAAUGCCGGUGGAUACUGUCGGGCUUGAGUACGGGAGAGGCGAGUGGAAUUCCUGGUGUAGCGGUGGAAUGCGCAGAUAUCAGGAGGAACACCGGUGGCGAAGGCGGGUCUCUGGGCAGUAACUGACGCUGAGGAGUGAAAGCGUGGGGAGCGAACAGG